UCCCCCCCACGGGCAAGGAAAGUGAAGUGGAAACAAUGUGAAAUUCACCAGCUCUGAAAUCAACAAGCUGCCGGCUCGGGAGCUACGGAGCCAACAGCGGCGUCCCCAUUUAAAGGGACAGCGCACCCGGUGGAGAGAAGAAAUAAAUACUCGAAGAGGUCUGCGCGCCCGGAUCGCUCGCCAGCGUGUGUUCCGCAGACGCGCGAGGUGCGGACGUGUUCUCUCCACACCUCCGCCGCCCCCACUGGGCUCGCCAAGCGCAUUCAAGGAUAAAAGAGUCUUCUCGGCGGCUUCUAAGGGCGUGUCCCCGCGAGGACGUCUGUCUGCGGGCGCGUUUGCAUCUCUACCCCGGGAACCCCGACACCUUUAGAUGGCGAAAGGAACCUACCUGCUUUAAGGAAUAUGAAACCGAUCUUCUCUUUUGUCAACCCUAAAGAAGGAAGAUAUGUGCCCAGAAGGAAAGAGAUGAAAGGAAGAAUGAAGAGAAAGACAAUUACUGAAAGAUGUUCAAGAAUGUCUGAACUUUGUUUAAAAAAUAAUGCAUACAUCCAGAGUUUUGAAGAAUGCCUGAACAGUCCACCGUCUACGGAAGUACUAAGGUAGGCUUUCUUCUCUCGCUGCCACACAGCACCAGACAGACUGCAGGAACUCUGUGAAUUUCCCACUGGGAAGUACAGCCUGCCCCUCUCCCCCCUGCUCUGAAAGUACAUUGGCCUGUGAAAGAAGUUCUCCUCUUGCCUUUCUGGAGCUGUUUGUUUUUAAAUAUAGUUCUGAGGUUCCAAGGCAAACACUCAGCCAUGAAUAACUGGGCUGUGCAGAGCACAUAUUAAAAAUAGCAAGCUCCACCUCCAAGUGAUGGAUUAACAAAAUAAAAUUUUAUACAAAGUUUCUCUGUUUCGAUGGAGAUUUAAAUAGCAGCCCAGGCUACAAGAUCUGGGAUUCUUGGGCAGCUGGAUUUUCAAAAAAAGUCUGAUGAAUGAAAGUGACCUGGGUUUCUUGUGAUUUGAAAAUGAAAGCAAAAGAAAGAGAGCCAAACAUCACAGACACGUGGCAUGCUCAUGGGAGAAGGAACUGGGAAGAUAAAUCCCAUCUACCAUUUUUAUUUCACAGAUAGGAGAACUGGGUCACCGAAAAGGAGACUUGGCUACAUAGUGUUGAGAGUAGUAUUUCUACUUUUCAUAUUAACUUCUAAUGUAGCAACUAUUAAUUGUGUUUCACACUGCCAGAAUGCACAUGGAAAAUGCCAUGAAAUGACAGAAAGAAAAAUGUUAUAUAUACCUGUUUUAAAAAGGAGAGUGUCCCUUGGGGAAAAAACAAUACUCAUUACACUUGAAAUUUAAAUCUCAGUAAACCAGGAAUCGCUGGCAUUUGGAAUCACUUUUCUUAGCAAGAGAUGAAUAAUUAAGACCAGAGCUAAAUCUCUUCCAUUUACAAACAAAAUCUUUCAGGUGCAUUUGUCUCUGGUUGGGCAGUUUUGCCUCUGAUGACAUUAGGCUGCUGAUAAUGUAAUUGAAGUCCACCACCCAGCGGGUCACGGUAUGGGUGACCCUCUUCACCAAGCUGAAUUUGCUUCGAACAAGGUGAACCUCAAGUGAGAGCCGCCCCUCUGACGUGUUCACGUCCUGGGACCCUUGCCCCAACCUCCACCCAAGUCCUGUGAGGACUAGCCUCCAAGAAAACUAGAGCAGUAUAAACCUCUCCAGCCGAAUGUGUUGUAUUCUCUGCCCUUGUGCCACUGGGAGAGGGAAAUCUAUGCAUAUGGAAAGUAGAAAAUGAAGUCUAGGAAUGGAGAUAAUGGUAUCUGAUAACUUAUUGAUGUUCUUUACAAUGAUAGAGCCCUUUCCAGUUCAACAAAACCCUGUUGAGCAAAAAUUUAUUAAUCAGCUCCUGACUACCUCCUACUAAAGCAAAUUAUUCCAGACUAUUAUUAUUAUUAUUCCUGUUUUGGAGAGAGAAAAGUAAGGCUCUGAGACAGCGGUUUUGGGGAGGUCAUCAGGCAGCAGUUAUCAUGCUUCAGCUCUCUAGUUCUUGAAAAUGCUUUUCCUGGGCCUCCUCCACACCUACACACCCGAGUCUAGGCCAAGCAGUCUCCUUCUAGGCUCUGAUUGCCUUUGGACUUUCUCUCACUGUUCUUGCACAUUUCAUAGCAGCUGCUUCAUCUUUUAUCUGUGUCCCUCACAAAAAUGUACCCAUUGGGUGGUCGGUGACUCUGUCUAUCUUGAUCAAAGAUGUAUCCCCAGUACCUAUCACUGGAUCUGGCACAUAGUAGGUGUUCAUCGGUGUUUAACAAAUGAAGUGAAAGUAUGUGAAUGCACAACAUGUCAGACUUGGACCCCUGAUGAAGGUCUUUGAUUUCUGAUCCAGAAUAUUUCCAUUAAACCUCUCUGACUCUGUUCUUAGGAACCACUGAACAUCUAUAAAAGCACCAAUAAUCGUUUACAGUUUCGCAUUUGGAACCCCUUUACCAAACAUUCCCCUUUUACCACCUGAUCCCAGCGCUUGAUUCAAGUUCCACUGUUGCAAACAAAGCCUUUUGUUUCCUUUUCUCCCUACCUUAUGAUCUACGCACAGCCCAUUUAGUCAAUAAACUUUAUGACAGAAUGACUUCAAAAAGAUUGAGCCCAGAGUUUCAAUUCCUCUGUAUCUUGGGGAAACCCAUUUGACUUCACUUCUACACAUUAGGUAAGACAAGACAAGGUGAUUGAUUACAUGAAAUUAUAAAUAACUCUAAAAAUCUUCUUUGCAUAUGAAAGCCGUAUCCCUUUGGCAAUGCUCUAGAAACUGUGGGGCCUUCAUGACCAAAGGAUCUCUUGACACUGCACUCCUUUAGCCCUCCAAAUUGUGAAAAUGCCCAGUUCUCAAUCCUCCAUGCCAAUCCAUACCCUGCCCUGUCUUGGGUACUGGGUCCUGUAUUGAAGGUAGACAGCGGUACCUUAUCAUAGGAAGGAAGGAGGUGUUUGGCUUGUUUUGCUAUGAUCAAUUAAUUAGUUAAGGCAAAAUUAAUUUAGAUUUGCGUGGCUACAGGAAAUGGAAGCAGGAGAGGUGGUGGCAGCUGCAGAAAUAAAGGCUUUGGAAAUAAAGCUCAGGAUGUGGAAGCAUUUUCUAACAAUAAGAGCUGCUCUGCACAGAAAUGCUGCCUUAUGAAUUAGUAAACACCCCACCAUAGGAGGUGCUUAGUGUUGUGCUGCCCAUCUUUCUGGGUUAUACUGGAGGGGGCUGCUGGGAUGGUAAGG
ensembl:lncRNA